rnacentral:lncRNA from 1 species
AAAUUUGGUCACAGUUAGUCACACCGAUGGCAAAGUUGGUCAUAGGUGUCGGAGUAAUUAUUGGAGCAGUUUGCAGGAUGGAAGGUCGAACAGCCGUGUGAGCAGGCGUCGAAGUGAUCAUCGAAACGCCGCAGGAAUGAUCGUUGGAGUGAUAGUAGGAACAACCGUUGGAGUGGCCGCCAGAGUCAUUGCUGGAGCCGAUGACAGCCUCCAAUGGAGAGAUGGAGGGAAGGUAGUGUAGUGAAGUUAUAGGAUGGGGUGACAUUGGUGGAAAUAAUUAAUAUAUAUUAUUUUAUAUUUUAAUAUUUAAUCAAUUUAUU